rnacentral:lncRNA from 1 species
GCACUAGGACUUCUAGCAGUAGCAGGAAAUUUAGUGUUGAAGACAUUGUUACAUUAAUUAUUUUCCACCAUUAUAUUAUUAGGGAUCCGGUACUCAUGACAAUAGACAAUAAGAUGUGUCUUCAGAUACAUGUUUCCAUGAUCACACAAGGUGACAAUUCUCCAAAUAUCCUUAUCCUACCUAUUCUCUAUAACCAUCCCUGUGGCAUUAAGAAACCUCAUUAUUCUUUUCUACAACUGCCUUCUCUGCAUUUUGUUUUUAUGCCCUUUGAAAGAAAAAAAAAACAUAAUAUGGGUAUUAAUUGUGCCCAU